AGCAGCCGCGGUAAUUCCAGCUCCAAUAGCGUAUAUUAAAGUUGUUGCAGUUAAAAAGCUCGUAGUUGAAUUUCGGGAUCAGUACGCUGGUCAUGCCUUUGGUAUGCACUGGUGUCACUGGUUUCUCCCUUCUGAAGAACCGUGAUGUCAUUAAUUUGGUGUCGCGGGGAAUCAGGACUGUUACUUUGAAAAAAUUAGAGUGUUUAAAGCAGGCUCACGCUUGAAUACAUUAGCAUGGAAUAAUGAAAUAGGACGUUUGACCCUAUUUUGUUGGUUUCUAGGAUCGACGUAAUGAUUAAUAGGGAUAGUUGGGGGCAUUAGUAUUCAAUUGUCAGAGGUGAAAUUCUUGGAUUUAUUGAAGACUAACUACUGCGAAAGCAUUUGCCAAGGAUGUUUUCAUUAAUCAAGAACGAAAGUUAGGGGAUCGAAGACGAUCAGAUACCGUCGUAGUCUUAACCAUAAACUAUGCCGACUAGGGAUCGGAUGAUGUUAAUUUUAUAAUGA
rnacentral:rRNA from 1 species